rnacentral:rRNA from 1 species
GACGAACGCUGGCGGCGUGCUUAACACAUGCAAGUCGAACGGAAAGGCCUGCUUUCCCUUGUGGAUUGCGGGUACUCGAGUGGCGAACGGGUGAGUAACACGUGAGUGAUCUGCCCCCAACUUGGGUAUAAGCCUGGGAAACUGGGUCUAAUUCCCGAUAGGACUGCAGGGUGGUGCCUGUGGUGGAAAACGAUUUUCUAGUGGUUGGGGAUGAGCUCGCGGCCUAUCAGCUUGUUGGUGGGGUAAUGGCCUACCAAGGCGGCGAGGGGGAGCCGGCCUGGGGGUGGGGGCGGCCAUAUUGAGGCUGAGACCCGGCCCCGACGCAUAGGGGGGGCGGGGGGGGGGAAUGGUGACCAGGGGGCGGGAGCCUGAAGCGGGGGCGCCGGGUGGGGGAUGCCGCCCUUGGGGUUGUAAACUCCUUGCGACCGGGAGGAGCCCCCGUGGUGGGAGGGGUGGUGAGGGGGGUGUAAGAAGAAGCCCCGGCUAACUACGUG